rnacentral:rRNA from 1 species
UACGUAGGCAGCAAGCGUUGUUCGGAAUUACUGGGCGUAAAGGGUGCGUAGGCGGCUUUUUAAGUUUGGUGUGAAAUCUCCCGGCUCAACUGGGAGGGUGCGCCGAAUACUGAGAAGCUAGAGUGUGGGAGAGGAAAGUGGAAUUCCUGGUGUAGCGGUGAAAUGCGUAGAUAUCAGGAGGAACACCGGCGGUGUAGACGGCUUUCUGGACCGUAGCUGACGCUGAGACACGAAAGCGUGGGUAGCAAACAGG